GCCUAACCGUAAACUUUAACUUACACCCAAAUCGCCAGGGAAUUACGAGCAACGCUUAAAACCCAAAGGACUUGACGGUGCCCCAAUCCACCUAGAGGAGCCUGUCCUAUAAUCGAUAACCCCCGUUUAACCUCACCACUCCUAGACCCUCAGUCUGUAUAUCGCCGUCGUCAGUUUACCACGUGAGUGAUCCCCGUAAGCAAGAGGACCAAUCGCCAAAACGUCAGGUCAAGGUGCAGCAUAUGAAGUGGGAAGAGAUGGGCUACACUCUCUAAUUUAGAAAAUACGAAAGACUUGAUGAAAUCUCAGUCUAGAAGGCGGAUUUAGUAGUAAAAUGAAUCUAGAGUACUCAUUUUAACACGGCCCUGGGGCGUGUACACACCGCCCGUCACCCUCUUCGAAACUAAACUUAAAGUACAUAACACUUCACCUAUCUUAAAGAGGAGGCAAGUCGUAACAUGGUAAGCUUACCGGAAGGUGUGCUUGGAAAC
rnacentral:rRNA from 1 species